GCAGGCUGCCCCAGCCAGCAGUGGUAACCUGCUGGGGUUCCCUUCCACGCUGUGGGAGGUUUGUUCUUUCGCUCUUUGCAAUAAUUCUUGCUGCUGCUCACUCCUUGGGUCCACACUGCCUUUAUGAGCUGUAACACUCACUGUGAAGGUCUGCAGCUUCAGUCCUGAAGCCAGCGAGACCACGAGCCCACCAGAAGGAACGAACGACUGCAGACGUGCCGCCUUAAGAGCUAUAACACUCACCUCGAAGAUCCGCAGCUUCACUCCUGAGCCAGCGAGACCAAGAACCCACCAGAAGGAAGAAACUGCCAACACAUCCGAACAUCAGAAGGAACGAGCUCCAGACACGCAGCCUUUAAGAACUGUAACACUCACUGCGAGGGUUCGCGGCUUCAUUCUUGAAGUCAGUGAGACCAAGAACCCACCAAUUCCGGACCCACUGGCAUUACAGGCGUGAAUCACUGUGUCUGGCCAAAAAGGAUCUAAUCUUAUAGCAGUGGAAUGAGGGGGAAGCCCAGCAAGGCCCAUCUGUUUGGAGUCUUCCUGGACUUCUGGGGCCUGACCCUUUUGGAACGGGGGUUUUAAGAUUCAUAAUCGACAAAUGGGUUCUUGAUAUGUUGCCCAGGCUGAGAGUUUCGUUAUGGCCAGCUGUGACACAGAAAGGUUGUUCCUACUUUGGCCAUUGGAGCUCUUUCCAGUUAGCUUCUCUUCCUUGGACAGCUUCCAUACGUUUUUGAGCACUUCCUUAUUUCUGACACCAGAAGAUGACUCAGGCUUGACUUGUAUUCUCCCCGUCCAACAAUGGAAUCUGCCAUUUCUCCAAGGAGCCCUGAUUCCUUUUAUUUGAGCGUGGUACAUAGAAGCUGAGCAACUUUUUCUCUCUUUCUAAUAAAUGCUAAUUCAGGAAAAAUAAAAAACUUAUAAAACAAAACUUCUCCUCUCAAAAUAAAAAUAAUUUUACGCAGUCCCAUAAGAGAAUACACAUUUUAAAAAUAUGUACAGCCUAUGCAAUUGACUAGAAUAGUGUUGGUGAGAACAUUCACACUGGCUUUAAUUAAAAAUUAAUGGUUAAUAUUUUUGCACUUUUAUGAAGCAACAGAAAUCUGAUCUUUAGUACUGAGAUAAAGUUUUUGUGUUUGAUGCAGUUUGCCCACCCAAACUAUCUGCGGGCUACAGUUUGCCCAUUUCUAUUCUAGAUUGCUGUUGGGGUAGAUUAGAAUUGUUGAGCGAAUUGACUAAAUUGCUCCAGUCUUUUUGAAAGGCCCAGUUGUCCCUUUGAAAUAUUUAUGGGUUUUUGAAUAAAGGUAGAAAUUAACCCUCCCACUCUUAAAACUUGAAACUUAUAUGUGUCUCAUCUGAGUGGUUUCCUCAGGAAACAGACCCUCACGCAAGGGACUGAAACUCACCAGAUCACCAUAUCCAGACCAUGAGAUCUAAGGUCUCUUACCCAUCGUGAUUGCUCCCUUACCCCUCCCUCAUUCCUGUAUUCCUGCAUGUAGUGACAUCCCUUCUCUGCUAUGUAAGCCCCAAAUUUUAGUGGGUCAAGGAAAAGGAUUUGAGACUUAUCUCCUGUUCUUCUUGACUGCAGCUCACAAAUAAAGUCUUCUUUCCUGGCAAUACUUCUUGUAUCAGGCAUUGGCAUUCUGUAUGGUGAGCAAUGGGAUCUAGACCAAACCCCUGGCAUUUGGUAACAAUUUAAUUUCAUGUCACUGGGUCAUCAUUAUAUAACUUGAGUAAUAGGUGGCAUCAUCUACCUCCUUUUCCUCCUCUUUCUUCUUCC
rnacentral:lncRNA from 1 species